rnacentral:rRNA from 1 species
GACGAACGCUGGCGGCGUGCUUAACACAUGCAAGUCGAACGGAAAGGCCCUGCUUUUGUGGGGUGCUCGAGUGGCGAACGGGUGAGUAACACGUGAGUAACCUGCCCUUGACUUUGGGAUAACUUCAGGAAACUGGGGCUAAUACCGGAUAGGAGCUCCUGCUGCAUGGUGGGGGUUGGAAAGUUUCGGCGGUUGGGGAUGGACUCGCGGCUUAUCAGCUUGUUGGUGGGGUAGUGGCGUACCAAGGCUUUGACGGGUAGCCGGCCUGAGAGGGUGACCGGCCACAUUGGGACUGAGAUACGGCCCAGACUCCGACGGGAGGCAGCAGUGGGGAAUAUUGCACAAUGGGCGGAAGCCGGAUGCAGCAACGCCGCGUGCGGGGUGACGGCCUUCGGGUUGUAAACCGCUUUCGCCUGUGACGAAGCGUGAGUGACGGUAAUGGGUAAAGAAGCACCGGCUAACUACGUG